rnacentral:rRNA from 1 species
AGAGUUUGAUCAUGGCUCAGGACGAACGCUGGCGGCGUGCCUAACACAUGCAAGUCGUACGGGACCGGGGGCAACUCCGGUUCAGUGGCAGAUGGGUGCGUAACACGUGAGGAACUUGUCCGUCGGCGGGGGAUAGCCGGCCCAACGGCCGGGUAAUACCGCAUACGUUCGUUCGGGGGCAUCCCUGGACGAGGAAAGCAGCCGCAAGGUUGCGCCGGUGGAGGGCCUCGCGGCCUAUCAGCUUGUUGGCGGGGUAAUGGCCCACCAAGGCGACGACGGGUAGCUGGUCUGAGAGGAUGGCCAGCCACAUUGGGACUGAGACACGGCCCAGACUCCUACGGGAGGCAGCAGUGGGGAAUAUUGCGCAAUGGCCGCAAGGCUGACGCAGCAACGCCGCGUGUGGGAUGACGGCCUUCGGGUUGUAAACCACUGUCGGGGGGGACGAAUACAGGGCUUCGAAUAGCAGACCCUGGGUGACGGUACCUCCAAAGGAAGCACCGGCUAACUCCGUGCCAGCAGCCGCGGUAAUACGGAGGGUGCGAGCGUUGUCCGGAAUCACUGGGCGUAAAGGGCGCGUAGGUGGCUCGUUAAGUUGCCGGUGAAAUCCCGGGGCUCAACUCCGGGGCUGCCGGUAAGACUGGCGGGCUCGAGCACGGUAGAGGCAGAUGGAAUUCCCGGUGUAGCGGUGGAAUGCGUAGAGAUCGGGAAGAACACCAGUGGCGAAGGCGUUCUGCUGGGCCGUUGCUGACACUGAGGCGCGACAGCGUGGGGAGCAAACAGGAUUAGAUACCCUAGUAGUCC